GCAAGUCGAACGAGAUCUUCGGAUCUAGUGGCGCACGGGUGAGUACCGCGUGGGAACCUACCUUUUCGUACGGGACAACGUUUGGAAACGAACGCUAAUACCGUAUACGCCCUCCGGGGGAAAGGUCAGCCGCUAAACGAGGGGCCCGCGUCUGAUUAGCUUGUUGGUAAGGUAAUGGCUUACCAAGGCGACGAUCAGUAGCUGGUCUGAGAGGAUGAUC
rnacentral:rRNA from 1 species